rnacentral:rRNA from 1 species
GAGGCUUGACGGAGCAAUAUCGCGUGGACGAUGAAGGUCUAACGAUCGUAAAGUCCUUUCCUGAGGGAAGAAUUAUGACGGUACCUUAGGAAUAAGCCCCGGUUAACUCCGUGCCAGCAGCCGCGGUGAUACGGAGGGGGCAAGCGUUACCCGGAAUUAUUGGGCGUAAAGCGUCCGCAGGCGGUUUUUUAAGUCGAAUAUUAAAUCUUGGAGCCCAACUUCGAGGCUGUGUUCGAAACUAUUAAACUAGAGCAUUUCAAAGGCACGUAGAAUUCUGCAAGUAGGGGUUAAAUCCGUAGAUAUGCAGAGGAAUACCAAAAGCGAAGGCGGCGUGCUGGGGAAUUGCUGACGCUCAUGGACGAAAGCGUAGGUAGCGAACAGGAUUAGAUACCCUGGUAGUCUACGCCGUAAACUUUGGACACUAGUUGUUGGAGGACUCAACCCCUUCAGUGACGACGCUAACGCAUUAAGUGUCCCGCCUGGGGAGUACGGUCGCAAGAUUAAAACUCAAAGGAAUAGACGGGGACCCACACAAGCGGGGGAGCAUCUGGUUUAAUUCGACAUUGAGCGAGGAACCUUACCUGGACUUGACAUCCCGAGAAUUUUUUGAAAACAAGAAAGUGCCUUAUGGACCUCGGUGACAGGUGCUGCAUGGUUGUCGUCAGCUCGUGCCUUGAGGUGUCCGGUUAAGUCCGUGAACGAGCGCAACCCAUGUCCUAUGUUGUAUUUUUCAUAGGAAACUGCCGAUCCAAAAUCGGAGGAAGGUAUGGAUGACGUCAAAUCAGCAUGGCCCUUAUGUCCAGGGCUGCACAGGUGCUACAAUGGCCGGUACAGAGGGCAGCAAUGACGCAGGUCGGAGCCAAUCCCUAAAGCCGGUCCAAGUUCGGAUUGAAGGCUGCA